GCGGGUGUAGCUCAGUUGGUUAGAGCGCCAGAUUGUGGCCCUGGAGGUCGUGGGUUCGAUUCCCGUCGCCCGCCCCA
rnacentral:tRNA from 1 species